UUUCGUUAAAGUGAACAGUACCGGGUGCUUUUCGUUAAAGUUCCCUUUAUCUAAUCGUAGUUCCUCAAUUUUAAAGAUGUCUAAUAUUCGACUUGAUAAAUAAAGGCUAAUAUGCUCAUUGUAGUGGUUUAAUGUUGUUGUUAUUUCUUCACCUUUGUAUAGAUAACAAAAAAAGUCUUUUACUUGAAGGCAAGUGAUUUUCACAUUUUCUUUUUAAAAUCUAACACACUUAUUUUUAUAUAUGGUCAUCAAAUUAAAUAAAUUAAGCUAAAUCAAUAUCCAAAAUUAAAAAUUAUGUAAGAGACUAAAUAAAAUAUUUGAAAAUCAUUUUCUUGUUCCUAGUACACCAACAUAACAUAUAGGACAAUAGGCAGUGGCAGAGCCAGUUGGAGGCCAAGAUAGGGCCAAGUCCAUCCUGGAACUUCACCAAUAUAUAUAUUGUCUGCUUCUUUAUCCUAAAGAGCAUGUGGUAUAUUGGUGAUUAGAGUUUGACAAUACUAAAGGUUCGAAACUUGUUGUAGCCAAGAACCUUCCGUAAUUUGUUAACCCAACCUCAUAACUAGCAUUAUGUUUUACCAUAUAAAAUUGAAUUCCGUUUUUUGGCCGGUUCAUAUAAAUAAAGUUUUGUUGCAGUCUUAUUAGAUUAGAAAUGUGAUUGUAUAAAUCAUAAUGUAUCUAGGGAUAUCUUAGAAUAUUCUCUAGGGUUAGAUAUUAUCCUAUUUGAGUUGUAAUCCUAUUAGGGUAAGGAUUUAACAUUCCCUACUACAUAAAUAAAUGCACAAUGCAAUGGAAAAGAACACACCUCACAAUUACACAUCUCUCUUUUCUCUCUUUAUGCCACACUCCCUCUCUUUUUGGCCUUCAUAAUUGUUCAGUAAAUUAUGCUUACAACACGUUAUUAGUACGCUCAUGACGCUACGCUAAAGAGAAUUUGAUCCUCAAUCAGGGGAGUAUUACGUUUUAAUUAUUUUUUUAUGAUUAAUUUAUUAUUUUAUUGAAUUGAGCUACAUGCUAUUGAUUCAAUUUAAUUUUUCUUUGUUGGACGUGAUACAACGUAUUAGAGAUACAAUUCCGGCUUUCCGAGAAGGAUCUUCUACAAGUUCAAAAGCUCAAAUGUUUUUUGCCAAUCAUGUUCUUUUAAAAUAAAUUAAGAUAUUUGAAACGAUCGUGAAACAUGAAAACAAUCCCCAUGAUGCAUGAACCUCCUAUAUUUAUAUUUUCCUUUCAAUUAUAUAUAUUGCAUAUGUGUUCAUAUAUUUUGUCAAUAAAUAUAUUUGUUCAUUCAAUAUGCAAUUAUAAUAUGUGGAAUUUGUAAGUCAAAGAAUCGAAAGAAAAUAGAAGCAAUUAGGAUUUUAUCAAACCCUAGAUUUUUCAAAAUG
rnacentral:lncRNA from 1 species